CGUUAAGGGCGAUGGGUAAAACCCCAACGGUUGCUCGCUUGAACCAUCUCUGGUUGGUCAAGCGAUAAGACUUAACCAGAGCUCCCUUUCAUCUCGGGAUAAAGGAUGAACCCCGUUGCGUCGGGUCAACGCAACUAAGCCUGUGAAUGAGCGGACGGUCAAUAGCCGGUCUGGACAGCAGUUCGAUUCUGCUCGGCUCCAUUA
rnacentral:tmRNA from 1 species